GUACAUGAUUUUAGAUAUAUUCAUUGCUUAUGCUUAUUGGAGAUUACAUUUAAGUCCUUCUUUGUACGCUUUUUCAAAGCGGCCUCUGCUAUUUAAUGUAACUCGCCCAAUCUUCUAGAUAGUCUGCACCUUGAUCUGUAAUAUAGUUAUACUAACUAUGUGAUAAUAUAUUGUAUAUCAACUGACGACGACGGCAUACAAAAUAUUUCAUGAAGUAGAUUACCUUGGUGGUUAUCAAUUACUCGGUAAGUUCCCCUAAAUUUUAAAAUCACCGCCAUGCUAUUUGAGUUUUAACCAGAAGGGUUUUAGUACUCAGUGUUUUUUUUGUGGGUACUGUAUAAAAGGGUAUCUAAUCCUUGUUUAUGUGCAAUAUUUGUGUCUUUUUGCUUACAUGGGGUUAUAGAUAUAAUUUCACCAAUAUUUAUUAUUGUAAGAUAAACUACACUCUCUGUUGUUCAUUACUAUAAAAGUUUGACCGCGACUGCUGGCACUUUUUGAGUCAUAGUAGAUGUAAUUGGUUUAAUCUUACUUUCGUAAAUUUGUAAAUUUCCUUGCCUGGGCAUGCCUUAAAGUGCCAUAAGUAUCCUAUUAUGUACGAACUUUUCACCAU
rnacentral:rRNA from 1 species